rnacentral:rRNA from 1 species
UAGUUGGUAAGGUAACGGCUUACCAAGGCGACGAUCAGUAGCCGACCUGAGAGGGUGAUCGGCCACAUUGGAACUGAGACACGGUCCAAACUCCUACGGGAGGCAGCAGUGGGGAAUAUUGCACAAUGGGCGAAAGCCUGAUGCAGCAACGCCGCGUGAGUGAUGAAGGCCUUCGGGUCGUAAAACUCUGUCCUCAAGGAAGAUAAUGACGGUACUUGAGGAGGAAGCCCCGGCUAACUACGUGCCAGCAGCCGCGGUAAUACGUAGGGGGCUAGCGUUAUCCGGAUUUACUGGGCGUACAGGGUGCGUAGGCGGUCUUUCAAGUCAGGAGGGAAA